CGGAUCACCCUUGUGUUAGAUCGGCUCCUUCUCUCUUGCUUGGGAACGUACAGCCUUUGUUAGCUUAGGCUUGUAUCAUUUCUGGUAUCAGAGCUGAAGUUCCUUCAGCAUCAGGUUAUAUCUAUCCUUGUCUCUUCUAUUUGCAUCCGAUUUGUGAUUCAUUGUUUCUGCUUUCAUGAAAUCAUAAAACCAAAUAAAGAGAUCGCGUUUCAUUGUUGCACUUAGUUGUUUUCUUCACAUCUUGCUUGCAUCCGAUUGUUACAUCCUGUUCUGCUUAGUUUUAAUCUUCAUCAAGUCAAAAAAAAAAAUAAAAACGUGUUGCUAGGAUUGCAUAAUUCGGUUUCCAUUUUUGCAAAGAGUU
rnacentral:lncRNA from 1 species